rnacentral:rRNA from 1 species
UCCAGACUCCUACGGGAGGCAGCAGUGAGGAAUAUUGGUCAAUGGCCGCAGGGCUGAACCAGCCAAGUCGCGUGAGGGAUGACGGUCCUAUGGAUUGUAAACCUCUUUUGUCAGGGAGCAAAGGGCGCCACGUGUGGCGUUUUGCGAGUACCUGAAGAAAAAGCAUCGGCUAACUCCGUGCCAGCAGCCGCGGUAAUACGGAGGAUGCGAGCGUUAUCCGGAUUUAUUGGGUUUAAAGGGUGCGCAGGCGGCGAGUUAAGUCAGCGGUAAAAUUGCGGGGCUCAACCCCGACAAGCCGUUGAAACUGGCUUGCUAGAGUGGGCGAGAAGUAUGCGGAAUGCGUGGUGUAGCGGUGAAAUGCAUAGAUAUCGCGCAGAACUCCGAUUGCGAAGGCAGCAUGCCGGCUCCACACUGACGCUGAGGCACGAAAGCGUGGGUAUCGAACAGGAUUAGAUACCCUUGUA